UCCUACGGGAGGGCACAGUAGGGAAUCUUAGACAAUGGGGGCAACCCUGAUCUAGCCAUGCCGCGUGUGUGAUGAAGGCCCUAGGGUCGUAAAGCACUUUCGCCAGAGAUGAUAAUGACAGUAUCUGGUAAAGAAACCCCGGCUAACUCCGUGCCAGCAGCCGCGGUAAUACGGAGGGGGUUAGCGUUGUUCGGAAUUACUGGGCGUAAAGCGCACGUAGGCGGAUUAGUAAGUUAGAGGUGAAAUCCCAGGGCUCAACCCUGGAACUGCCUUUAAUACUGCUAGUCUUGAGUUCGAGAGAGGUAAGUGGAAUUCCGAGUGUAGAGGUGAAAUUCGUAGAUAUUCGGAGGAACACCAGUGGCGAAGGCGGCUUACUGGCUCGAUACUGACGCUGAGGUGCGAAAGUGUGGGGAGCAAACAGGAUUAGAUACCCUGGUAGUCCACACCGUAAACGAUGAAUGCCAGACGUCAGCAAGUAUACUUGUUGGUGUCACACCUAACGGAUUAAGCAUUCCGCCUGGGGAGUACGGUCGCAAGAUUAAAACUCAAGGGAAUUGACGGA
rnacentral:rRNA from 1 species